rnacentral:rRNA from 1 species
UGAGGAAUUUUGCGCAAUGGCCGCAAGGCUGACGCAGCAACGCCGCGUGGGUGAUGAAGGCCUUCGGGUCGUAAAGCCCUGUCAGGUGGGAAGAAAGGCUUGGAGAAGCAACGCUUUGAGUUUGACGGUACCACCAGAGGAAGCACCGGCUAACUCCGUGCCAGCAGCCGCGGUAAUACGGAGGGUGCGAGCGUUAUUCGGAAUUACUGGGCGUAAAGC